rnacentral:tRNA from 1 species
GGGUUGUGGCUCCGUGGUAGAGUGCUUGCCUAGCACAUGUGAGGCACUGGGUUCGAUCCUCAGCACCCA